GGGGACGGGAAAUUCAUUUGCGGCCGCUGGCGUCGCUUAGUUUUGACGGCGGCGACGACACAGAUGGGAGAUAUAAUUGCUGUUAUUGUGUCCGUCCCCAGCGUAAUGGAUAUCGCGGACAGAGACGCAGUUGGGGGACACUCCAGUCCCAAUCACACAGUAAUAUCUGUGGACGCAUCUGGAAAGAUUCUGCAGUCGUCGGCGAUUCCAGCUGCCUGCUUGAAGUCACAUGGGCAAUGCGUCUGUAGUUGGCCUGACACGAAGAGAUAGCACCAUUGAAAAUUGGCUGAAUAAAGCUGUCUUCACGAAA